UACGAAGGGGGCUAGCGUUGUUCGGAAUCACUGGGCGUAAAGCGCACGCAGGCGGACCGAUAAGUCGGGCGUGAAAGUCCGGGGCUCAACCUCGGGACUGCCUCUGAGACGUGUGAUCUAGAGUGAGGGAGAGGGUAGUGGAAGUCCCAGUGUAGAGGUGAAAUUCGUAGAUAUUGGAAAGAACACCGGUGGCGAAGGCGGCGACCUGGUCCUUGACUGACGCUGAGGCGCGAAAGCGUGGGGAGCAAACAGG
rnacentral:rRNA from 1 species